UUAAUUUUGCAAAGAAAUUCAUCACUUUCCAAAAAUGUCAUUAAUCCUACCAGCAUGUGGGACCAGAGAAAUACUGGGAAUUCAUUUACUUAUGAACUUCAGAGAUUUUUUUUUCCCCUUAUUUUUUACACCAUCUUUCAAUCCACUAUAAUUUUAUAAUGCAUUAAUAAUUCAUAUGUUUAAACACAUAAAAUUAUUUUUGGUGUUCCUUACUCCCUGUAAUGCAAGUGACGUGCUUAUCUAAAAACAAACCAGAUGGGUUACAUUUUUAGUUGGGAGGUUACUUACUGACAGCUUUUCUGAAAGAACGGCUGAAACAGUUGAGAAAGUCUAAAUGCAAACAAGAAUAAAGCUUUCAGGUUCAAGGUGGUUUUACCUAUUCACUGUGUUCCUACUGGGUUAGUGUAAGUGGUUCAUGCCAUGUACGUGCAUCCACUCUUGUUUAAUUUUUCUAGUAACACAUAGUUGAGAGAGACAGCUCUUUUUCAGACUUAAAUAAAUGUCUCAGCUCCUGUCUUUAAAUGCUUACAGCACAGCAAGGAAGGGCAAUCUUUUGAAGUGUAUACUGUGACACUUUGUGGACUGCAAAGAAAAUUGACAAAGAGACGUGCAAACGCAAAAUGCCAGGAGAGAUUUAAAAGCGGGUACGCACCUUAUAUUAAUAUGUCGUCCUGUGCCCGGGACAGGUUUCCCAAGUGCUGUUAUAAGAAACCAAAUAUGGCGAGGAGCUUGGCAUUUCAGGGCCGUUAGCUUGCUUUCCAACUGAUGAGCGGAUCCCUGUAGGAUGCAAAUACCAAGCCCCUUUACCCUCAUGAGGGAAUAAUAAUAAAUAAUAAUAUCCCCCGCAUUUGGAAAUGUUUCCCAACAAACUUGCGUGCAAGCAGUUUCUUUUGCGAUAACUCAGAUUUCCACCGCCUGUCCUUCGUGGCAAGCUACUUAUUUUCAACCGGGGUCCCUCGCCGAUUGGCCAUUUCCCCUAAUGAGCAGUGCUUUGCACACAACCUUUUAUGAAGGGAGCAGAAGACCACCCCAGCUAUAUGGAGAUCCAGUGGUGUCCAGGCCCCGGGGUUGAACCAGGGUUGCCCAACAGGCCUGCUAUAUGGGUGAUUCAAGAAAAGGGAAAGUUACAGAUUGCAUCAUAGCACAAACUUGGGGCUUGCUUCCUAGAGUUGAAAUGAAGCCUCUUAAUUUUAAGAAUGCCAAGUUUACACAGAAGUUACUGAUUACUUUUUUUUAAAAAAAGGUUUAUUUAUUUGACAGAGUGAGAGAGAGCACAGUUGUGGUGGGGGAGGGGUAGAGGGAGAGAGAGAGAGAAUCUCAAAUAGACUCUGCUUAAUUCAGAUCCCGAUGCAGGGCUCGAUCCCACUACCCGAGCCGAAACCAAGAGUUGGAUGCCUAACCGACUGCCUCACCCAGGCACUCCUGAUUACUUUCUGAAAGAAGGAGCAAAACCUUGGAGGUGCUUCAGAGUCUGGUCUGAAAGCCCGAGGGGGGAAAAAAGAGUAAUUUAAACAACCUGAGGCCAAAGACCUCAGCAGACAGCUCAGCAGAGAAAUUACACAGGUGGCAAACACGCAUGUGAAAAGAUGCUCCAUGUGAGAGGUCCUUGGGAAAACGCACGUUAAAACAACGAUGAGAUACCGCUACACGCCUGUCAGAAUGGCCCAGAUCUCGAAUUUGGACAGCAGCAAACGCUGGGGAGGAUGGGGAGCAACAGGAAUUCUCAUUCACUGCCGGAAGGAAUGCAGAAUGGUCCAGCCACUUUGGAAGACAGCUUGGCCAUUUAUGUUAAAAGAAACAAACCGUAAGAAACAGCAAGCCCUAAAUGGGAGUCACUGGCUGUCCCGGACAGCAAACCAAGACUUAAUUACAGUUUCAGCCUAUCUCAGGAAUGGGAGCUUUUAACCGUGGACCUGGAAUUUCCUGAUCAGCUCUAGUGAUGUAAUCUACAUGAUAAAAACCCUCCUAUUCCUUUCUCCACAAAAAGAAAGCAUAAUAAUCCUUACCUCUCCUUCCAUAAGAACUUCCUGCUCUACCCUUUCCUAUGAAAACCUUCCAUUUUGUGCAAUACCUCAGAGCAUCUCUCUUCUUACCAGAUGGGAUGCUGCCUGGGUUCAUGAAUUGCUUAAUAAAGCCAAUUAGAUCUUAAAUUUACUCUGUCAAAUUUUAUUUUUUAACACAACACAAAACAUACUCUUAUCAUACAAUCCAACAGUUGUGCUAUUUGGUAUUUACCCAAAUGAAUUGAAGAUUUAUGUUUAUAAAAGCCUUGGCGUGGAUGUUUAUACACCUUUAUUCAUAAUUACCCAAAUUUGGAAGCAACCAAGAUGCCUUCAGUAGGUGAAUGGAUAAAUAAACUGUGGUCCAUCCAGUCAUGGAAUAUUAUUCAGUGCUAAAAAGCAAUGAGUUAUCAAGCCACAAAAAGACAUGGAAUAAACUUAAAUGCAUAUUAUUAAGUGACAGAAGCCAAUCUGAGAAGGCUCAAUACAAUGAUUCUAAAUAUAUGACACUCUUGAAAAAGCAAAACUUGGGAGACAGUGUACAGAUAAGUGUUUGCCGGUUUCGGGUAGGAGAAGGAUGAAUGAAUAGGGUGGGCACAGAGGAUUUUCAGGGCAGUCAAACUACUUACUUGAUAUUGUAAUGGUGGAUCCAUGUCUUCAUACAUCUGUUCAAACCCAUAGAACACACAACACCAGGAGUGAACCCUAGUGUAAGCUAUGGACUUUGGGUGAAAUAGGAUGUGUCAGCGUAGGCUUAUCAGUUGUAACAAAUGUACCCUCUGGUGGGGGGUGUUGAUAAUGGGAGAGGCUGUGCAGGUGUGGGGGCAGAGGAUGUAUGGGAAAUCUCUGCACCUUUCUUGUAAUUUUGGUAUGAACCUAAAAAUGCUCUAAAAAUUAAAA